UAUAUAUAUAUAGUAUGUAUAAAUGGUAUAAAUAACCGUAAUAGAAUAAAUAUUGAAAUCCAGGAAGUUCGUUCUUGAGCGUUUCUAGACGUCCUUUUGUUUCAAACACAAAGUAAAAUUUAUAAUUUGACGCCCAAAACCCUGAAACCCGAUAUCUUUAAUUACACUUGCUUUACUGUAGAAAUUGAGAAUGUAAGCUGAGAAUAAAGCUGAGUAUCUGCCCCCCUCACCUCGCUGUACAGCGUCUUGUUCCUCUCAGCCUGCACCAGCUCCGGCGUGUCCCACACAAAGCAGCCGAGGCCCUUCAGCCAUUCCAGGUCCUCCUUGUACUUCACCUGUAGAGGAACCACAACCACCAGCAUUUUACCCAAAUGUCAAUGACCCCGCUUGGCUCCAUCUGCACCGAGGCCGGGGGGUCUGGGGGUCUGGGGGGACUCACGCUGCUGAUAUUGUCGUUGGCGAUCUUGCUGAAGAAGAACUCGGGCCGGUCGGGGAUGGACUUCCACGUCCCCAGAGAGUUGAUGUACUUCUCUCUGUAUUUCACCUGAGGAAGACAAGGAGCACUCAGUGAGAAGACAAAUGGUCUCCAGUGAUUCUAUCUUAAAGAAGCGAUGUGCCGACCUCGCUGAUGUCAUCCGUGACCCUGCGGUGGUACGUGAUGUCCAGGGCGUCCUUCACUGUGUGGUAGUGACCCUUAGAGAGCUCGAAGGUCUCUUUGUAACGCAGCUGCAGACACAGAGAACAAGCAUGUUCUUGUUCACGUAUAUAUUAAACUUUUAUUAUUUCACGUUUGUGGUGUGAAGCAUGUGAAAUCCUGCUUUUGGUGUUGGUGAUGUUUUUUUCAACAUAAUGUCCAAACACUUAAAAUGAAACAUAAAUCAACAACAAAAACCAAAUUCUAAAUGAAUGACUGAGGUCACCAAAUAGUGUGGUUUUAUACCUUUGGAGCACAGUUACUGAGUUAUUGAUCAGGGACUCACGUCACUGGACUGGAGGUAGGCCUUCUUGGCCCGGAUGAGCAGAGGCGUGUCGGCGAUGGCCGUGUACCUGUGCUUCAUCUUCUCGUACUGGUCUUUGUAUUUGUUCUAUGGAGGAGAAGAAACACGUCGUCAACAUGCGCUCUGCUUCCACGAGAGGGGGCGGCGGGGUCGAGUAGGAGAAGGACUCACAUCGCUGCAGACCACCUUCAUCCUCCUGGAGUGGCCCAUGGUCGGGGUGUCCAUCUCUUGGGUGAAGUGAGCUCGCUCCUUGCUGGCCACGUUGGUGUACUGGAACUGUGGGGAGAUGGAAAAAGAACGGUUAGACGGUCGGCUGGGGUGGGAAGGGGGCGCAUCGGAGCGUCAUGUGGAACUUGCGUUGUUGGUCAGCUGCUGGGCCCACUUGGCCCUCAGGAUGUCAACAGAGUCCCCGGUGGUGGAGACCUUCGCCAUCUCCUGCUUGCUCUGGGCCUUGUAGAUCAUCUGCAGACAGAAGAGGGAAGAAGAGACGUCAGACGUGCCGCCAAAUUGGGUUCUUCCUACCCAAGCCGGUGACUCUUGCAUCGCAAAGAUAUUUCACACAGUUUAGUGAUGGUUCUCAAUCAAAUUGCUCCCAAUUUGAAGCCAUUAACUGGACCGAGAAUACGUCAAACAUCACCAAGAAGGACGGAGCCAUUUGCAGCCGCCACUCACGUUGCUCAUGUGGCUCUUCAGCUCCGUCACACGGUUGUACUCCGGCGUGUCGAGGACCACAGAGAAGUUGGCGAGGUUCUUCUUGGCCUCCACCGGGUAGAUCGCCUGUAAAAAAACACAGAAAGGACAGAAAGGGCAAAGAUGAUUGACGUGAUUUAAUAUUUCACCCUUUCAGCCUUUCCUUCAAAGAUAUCUCAGGCCUCUUGUGUUGCUGUGGAGCUUUUUAUGUUUAGAUUGGUCUUCAGUAUGAAAUGAGUCUUGAAUGAGGAUGUAAUAAGGAAUAAGAAUGGAAUGAAGGUAUAAUGAGGAUGGAAUGAUGAUGGAAUGAAGGUGUAAUGAGGGUGUAAUGAGGAUGGGAUGAGGGUGGAAUGAGAAAUGAGGGUGGAAUGAGGAUGGGAUGUGGGUGGAAUGAGGUAUGAGGAUGGAAUGAGGAUUGGGUAAGGAAGGAGGAUGGGAUGAGGGUGGAAUGAGGUAUGAGGGUGGAAUGAGGAUGGGAUGAGGGUGGAAUGAGGUAUGAGGGUGGAAUGAGGGUGGAAUGACAUACCCUUUGCUUGGUGAUGUUACGGAUGUGGAUCAUCUCCGGGGUGUCGUACAGGAAGCAGCCGAGUCCCCUCAGCCACGUCAGGUCCUCUUUGUACUUCAGCUAUGAAAUAAAAAGCACAAUGGUGUGAAACAACAUUUUCUUAUCCGGGGUUUUGAAGUGUCCCGUGACCACGUGGGCGUACCUCGCUGGUGAUCUGGUUGACGUGGUAGCAGUGCAUCAGCUGGGGCGUGAUGGGCAGAGAGAUCAGCUGACCUCUGCUGUUGUAGUACUUCUCUCUGUAGCACAGCUGGAGGAGGAGAAAAGGCAGAUGAGAGGAUGCUGAUGCAAGAGGAGGAGCGAGAGAAGUUUUUUAAUUUUUAACUUUAACUUUUAUUCCUUUAAACUAACCCAUAGCCUUAUACUAGUAACCCAUAGCAUUUUAUUUUAUUUUAUUCCUCGUGCACUGUUGUCUUGUCGUCCGUUGUCAUACUGUCUGCCGUCAGGCACCAACCGCCAAGUCAGAUUCCUUGUAUGUCUGACACAUUAUGGCAAUAAAUGAUUCCUGAUUCCUGAGUGAGGGCGGGAAGAGGCGGUUCCUCACCUCGCUCAGGUGCUCCUGGUUCAUCUUCACUUGUUUGAUGUCUGGAGUGUCGUAGAUGCUGUGGAUCUUGUCCUUCUGCUUGUGGUAUUCUUCCCGAUAGAGACGCUGAGAGGAUGGGGGGUAAACGAGAGGGGGUUCUUAGAUCUAAGGGUUCGGAUCACAAUCACAGUUCGUAGCAGUAAAAAAAAUAGUUAAUAAUUACCGCUAAUAAUAAUAAUUGAUGAUUGAUGAUGCAUAUUAACAGAUACAGAUCCCUUUAUUUAUUGAUUAUAGCAGUCGGUCUAUAAGGAUCCACAAAUAUUUGUGUUACAAAUAUACCAAAUGUUAUUAUUUUACUUAUUUAAAAAAUCUAAAAACACAAAAUUCGAAUCAUAUUGAAAUUAAAUAUUGUAUUUUAUUUUAUAUUUUUAUUAUUAAUAAUCUUGUAUAAUAAUGUGUUUAGCUAAUAAAUAUUUCAAUUCUUGUGGAAAUAUUUGAGUUAAACUGGGUUUAAUGGGUAACAUUAAUCUGUGGGGCGGGUCAAUAAGGUUACAUCGCCUCCUCUUACGUUGUUGGUGAUCUUGUUGGCUUUCCUGGAGUUGACAAAGUUGACGCCCUCUGGGUGAAGAGUGUAGGCCUUCGCCUUCAUCAUCUCGUAGGCCUCCUUGUACUUCACCUGCACAGAUCAAAGCCCAGAGUGGACGAUGGUAACAAAAAGCAUCCACGGUGAAAGCAGGAGGCUGGGAGGAUGCUCUCCACUCACGUAGCUGGUGACCACGCUGUUCAUCUUGGCCUGCUUGAUGAGCGGGGUGUCGCUGGGGAGGGAGUAGCCUGUGGGCAUCAGGCUCUUGUUGGCCUCCUUGUACGAGUUCUGAGAGGAGACGGGGGGAGACGGGGUGAGACGGGGUGAGGCGCCUACAUUCCAAAGAGCCUUUUCUUAUUUAACAUCGUAUCUACAGUUCAUUAAAGGCUAGUGUUCAUUCUGUUUGUUUGAGCGUUCUUUCACACGUUUGUUUGUGCUCAUGGAAUCUAAAUCACACAAAGAUAUCAGAGCUGCAGUUUAUCAAAUGUAAAUAUAUUGGUAAACUCCUUUGGCUUUAAAGGUGAAGUGGAAACGCAUUUACAAACAAAUUUGCUCUUUUUCAGCUUAAUAACAAUAAAAAAAAAAAAACAUUAUUGUAAAAUAUACAUUUAUGAUAAUCUUCCUAUCAAGACGAUAUUAGUCUUAUUUAUUGAAUCAUUGUUUGCACUCAUCAUGACGUCUGAAGGACUGAUUAAUUAUGACGCGUGGUUCUCACGUCGCUCUGGAUGUAGUUGGCCAUGCGGGCUCGCUCCGUCUCCAUGGUGACAGCAGGAGCUGUGUUGGUCCCCUUGAUGUUAGUGUUGUAGUCGUAGCGGUAGUGCAGCUGGAACAACAAGCAUGGGAGCUUAGAUAGAGUUUUAUUUGAAUGGUGAGUGAUGGACUCCGUGGAGGAGGAGGCCCACUCACGUCGCUCAGGUUCAGGGAGUUCUGCUUGGAGGUCUCGUACACCGGCGUGUCCGUCACCACCGAGUACUCCUUGAAGGACUCGAUGCCUUUGGCUCGGUACUUGUUCUGGAACAAAAACACACGAUGUGGAUCAGAGGGGAGAACGCUUAGGGCGGAGCAGCGGAGGGGGGGGCGGGGCCGAGCGCUCACCUCGCUCUGAAGGUCACCGGCGUGCUUCACCCGGAUGAUCUCCGGCGUGUCCGCGGCGUAGCAGCCGAUUCCCCUCAGCCAGUUCAGGUCGUCCUUGUAGAUGAUCUGGGGAGGGAGAGACCUCAGGUCACUUUGGAGGGCGGGUCCACAUGGGAGAAGACAAACAUCUAAAGGCUGCUUUAAUGUCAGAUGUUUGUCUUCUUUAUAUUAUGUCUUUAUUCUUAUAUUAUCUUCAUGUGGGAACUUUUUAAUUUUGCUGAUAAAUCAAAUAGUUUACAAGCUAUUCGACCGUUGCAGGAUUUGUACACAGAGAAUGAAGCCGUUCAUUAAUAUAAAAUAUGAGUUCACUGUUAUGUAAUAUUUGUGAACGUGGUCGAUUUAGCUCAACAUUUCUUCAUAUUUACAGAUUAAAAAAAACAGAGAAGCACCAAUAAACUUUUCUCUUGGCAUAAAAUCCCAUUUCACUCGUUGAUUCUUAAGAAUUAAACAUCGUGUCUUCUCUCAUUUGUGCCGGUUUAGAGGCUCCAAAAGAUACUCAAACCUUCUGCGAAUCCUUUUCACAUAUUGCUAAACAUAAAACGUCUGUGGUCACAUGAUGCAGUUGAAAUGUUACAACGAUACCUUACAUUGCAUCAGACGCUUUAACACAGCUACUACAUGCCAGUUGAAAAAGGAUGCAGGGACACUCACGUCGCUGAGCUGCUCGUUGACCUUGCGGGCCUGCGUGUACACCUGCAUGUCGGGGAGGCAGAUCCACUGGUGCAGGUACUUGCGGUAGUGGAUCCCGCUGACUGUGGACUGGGUGUUGCGGGCCGAGAGGAUCUCCAGCAUGUCCGGCGGGAUGUGGUUCUUAGCCUUGGUCUUCUCGUAGUCCUCCCGGUAGAGCCGCUGUGGAGAGACGGAGGACACGCCCCCACCCACCGGGUGUCAUUUCUCCCGUCACCACUCAACGUUAACGGUGAGAAACGCAGCGAGAAUUCGACUCACGUCCAGGACCAGCUUCCCGGCUUUGACGCAGCGGGCGGUGGCGGGGUCGUCCUCCAGAGACUUGGGUAGACUGUAGAGGGACUUGAACUUCUCGUAGUCCUCCUUGUACUUCACCUAGAAAGCAAGGGGGGGGGGGGGGGGCCCGGGAUUCAAACUGGGGGACUUCUAACUGGGGAAGCGUGUCGUUGACGUGGACCCGGUCAUACUCCCCCCCCUGAGGAUGACCUUCUGCUGCUUGGCGUGCUGCAAAACGUGCAAAUUUUGAGGGAUCUGGUAGCUCUUGGCUUUGACUUUGUCCCAUGCGGCGCUGUACUCUUUCUGUGAACGGGUGGGGGGAGGGGGGGGGCACACAACGUCAUUGCCCGUUCAACAAGCCUUCGAAAGCUCUACGACCUGGAUGGAAGGAGAGAACUCACCUUGCUGAAGAAGUGCUUGAAGUUGACGCAUCGGGCGUAGUCGUACGUAUCCAACACGGUGGUGUACAGGUGCUUCUCCUUGUGAUACGCCUCCUUGUAGUUCAGCUGUGGACAUCAAAAAGGAGGGAGGGGGUUGAAUCAACGCACGCCAUCGGGUGUUUUUUGACUGCAGGGUUGCGUAUUUGUGUUUUUCUGAACUCACGUCGCUGGCCCAGGUGUGACCCAGGACGGCGGUCACGUAGGCCGGUGUGUCCGUCACGAUGGAGUAAUUGUUGAACUCCUUCUUGGCCUCAUUUCUGUAUUUGAGCUGAGAGGGAAGAAGAAUGAUGAGAAGAUGAUCGUACAAAUAUAUGUUUGAAUAUGAAGAACGCUGGCGGCGUUUCUCACUUCACUCUGCAGCUCGUAGGAUUUCUUGGCUCGGACGAUCUCCGGCGUGUCCCAGACGAAGCAACCCAUCCCCUUCAUCCAGUUCAGGUCGUCCUUGUAGAAGACCUGAAGGACAACAGCAACAUUAAAGGACAUCUUGUCUGGUCUGCUUUACUGAUGGAGGUCUGUGGAGGAUCGGGAGCAGGAGAUGAGCCCUGAAGGAGAACCUACAUCACUGAGGAUCUCAUUGGUCUUGCGGGCUCGGAUGACAUCCUCCUGGUCGGGGUGACAUGUCCACUGGUGCAGGUAUGUGCGGUAGAGGACGUCGCUUAGCAUGUCCUGGCAACGCUUAGCGACCUGGUUGGCGAUGAUGUCUGGUGGGAGGUGGGUCUUGGUCUUGGUGUGGUUGUAGUCUUUUGUGUAGACCCUCUGUGAAGACAUUCAGACCACGGGGAGCUGAUGACAUCAUCAUUACUAAUGUGUUACAAACUGGCCUAAAAUGACAUUUUAGAAGAAUGUAAAUAAUCUCUGGUGAUAAAGUUUCUAAUUGUUUCUAUAUAGUCUGUCUGAGACGAAUACAGGAGUAUUCAGUACAGUAAUCGGGGAUGUCUUACCAGUCCCUUGUUCUUCUCCUGCUCUCCACAGCGCAUCACUUCGGGGAAGUCCACCAGCGUCCCGGCCAUGUAGUGACCCUUGGCCUUCUCGUGCAAAUCCUUGUACUUGACCUGGUAGGAUCCAGAAUAACAACCGUCGUUGUUUACAUUCUGCCAGAAUAAAAUCAGGACUUCUUCUAAUUGGCAUGGACAAGAAGGGGCUCACAUCGCUGAUGAUCUCCCGGCCCUUCUUGCCGCUGAGCAGUGGGAUGUACUGGUGGUUCAGCUGGUAGCCGGUAGCCUUCGACUCGUCCCAUUGCUGCUUGUAGAGUUUCUGAAAUCCCAAGGGCACACAGUGUAAAACCAAAGCUCAGAUGUAUGACAUCAUACAAAUGAAUACAUUUAAACAAUUAAAUGCUUUGCAUUACCUCACUGAUGUUCUUGGACGCCUCCCUACUGUGAGCCAGUUGAGGGGUGUCUUCUGAACCGAUAUAUUGACCCUUCUCUGCAUUGAAUGUCUCCUUGUACUUCAGCUGUGGCAGAGGACAACAACAUAGUUGUGUUUAUUCCCAAGCUACUUGAAAUGAAGAAGUCAGAAUCAGAUGCUUUACAUUUAACAUACAUCACUGAGGUUUGCAGCGUUUAUCUUUGCCAAGACGAUCUCAGGACGGUCCGCUACAUGGGUGAAUUUUGAGAAGCAGUCUUUGGCAUGUUUCUUGUAGUGCCUCUGCAAUGACAAACACACAGGAUGGAGGUGAGACACAAACACCUGGUACGAAAGUAAGGGGGGAAAUCGUGCUAAAAGACUGAAUGCAAUGCAGUUUACCCACCUCGUUGAUGAUCUCCUGGGCCUUCCUGACCUUGACGUGGUCAACAGAUUCAGCUGCUAUCCAGCCGCAGCCGCGAAUCCAUUCCAUAUCCGCCUUAUACACAUUCUGUAGACAGAAAGCAAGAUAUCAAGACAUGAUUGAUGGUGGUUUCUAUGUUUUCAUGUCACAUAAAUAGGCAUAACCCUCAUUAUAGAUUUAUGAGUCACCAAAGAUGCAGCUGCAAAGUGCCGGAGAGGGUUUUUCCACCUUAAAUGAGAGUUUGCCCAAAGAGAGCAACCUAAGUUGAUGAUGAAAUCAACAUCACUGGAGGUUGUUCUACUACAGCGUGCUUUCCUUCUGCCCUCGUAGAUAAGACAGUGUCCUCCAAUUCACAGAGCUCACCCAACAUGGUCAUUCCUCCUCUGAAGUAGUUACUGCACUAAAAUGUCAUGUUUUACUUGUGGUCUUUAGUUGUUCACACGAGUUCUGCACUGGAAUUUUUUGUGAGACACAAUACUUUUGUUUGCAGAUCAAUUUCUCUCCAUGCAGGAGAAAUAUUUAGGUCCUAAUCACCCAAAUAUCACAAAGUAGACGUUUUUUGCGAAACUAACUAAUGGUUAAAAAAAGCCUGCAUGAAUGUGCCAGCGGCGUCCUGGGAUGAGCACUCACAUCACUCUGAAGGUCGUAGGCUUUGCGGGCCUGGAUGACAUCACUGGAGUCCGGCAUACAGGUCCAGUUGUGCAGGCGGGUUCUGUAGAUGUUGUCAUUGACUUGAAUCUGGCACUUCUUGGCCAGUUCGAACUGCAGCAUGUCCACCGGCAGGUUGAACUUGGUCUUGGACUUGUUGAAGUCCUUCUUGUACAGGGCGUCGCUGGCGAUCCGGGCGGAGUUCAGGGCCAGCAUGAUCAGAGGGUCGUCACGGACGCUGAGGGCUCCGAUGUGGUGGCCCACCUGCUUACGGUAACUCUCGAGGUACUUAUGCUGCGGGACGGACAGAAAUGUUCAGUGCAACGAUUCUAAUCAACAUGGUUAUUGGGGUGAAAACGAGUUCGUCCCAGAUACUCACUUGACUCUGAACUUUACUGGUCUGGAUGCACUGCUUGAUUGGGACGGCGUCUCCGGGCAUGAAGUAGCCCGUGGCUUUGACCUUAUCCCAAGCUUUGGUGUACAGUUUCUGCAAGAGGUGGAAAUCGUUAUACAGGUGGCUCACAACGUAACGCUUACUCAGUAAAGGACAAAGAACUGUUGACUCGUCGAGGAGUUGGUCUCACCGGGUGAAGGUUCUUCGCCACCUCUCUGGCUGUGGCGAGAACCGGUGUGUCGGAGGACGUGAACUUGGUCUUGUCGUUGUGCCAGGCCUCGCGAUAUUUAACCUGUGCAGAGCGAUAAAUCAACAUUCAGUUAGUCAGUCAGAAAGAAAACUCCAAUCUGUCACCAGGACAUUAAAUGUUUUAGCGCCCUGCAAUUUUUUAAUUCGAUUCUCUGUAUUAUGUUUAUUUCUGUUACUGCUCUUUGGUUGUCUUAACUCAAGACAUUUCUAAUGGAUAACAGUUCUGUUUAGGAAACUGUGUAUACUUUAAAAAUAACUAUUUGAUUUAGAAUCCCCAUAGAGAUGAAUGAAAUGCUCCCAUAUAUGAAAGCUUUGGUGACCCAUAGUGGGGGAUCUGGACCCAUUGGACUCAAACGAACAAAUCCAAAUCGACCUGGGAUCAGCAGAGUUUCCUGCUCACCUCGUCGAGGACUGCAGCCGCAUUCUUGGCACGAACCAUGUCGAUUCUGUCAGUUUUGACAGUGAAUUUCUGAUCAUCCAACUUGACACGGUAGCCUCUCUAAAGAAACAAAAACCAGACAGGAGAAUAAUACAUCUCAUUUAAUUAACACCAGCAUUUGGGGGAAAUUCUAUAUUUAAAAGAUAUCUAUCUACAUCCAUAUCUACUGUGUAUACAUUUCUGACUAAUAGGAAAUACGAAUUGUAGUUAGACUUACAUCAGCAAGGACCUUCUGGGCAUGUUUGACCUUCACGACAUCCACAGACUCAUGUGGUAUCCAUCCACACCCACGUAUCCACUCCAUAUCAGCUUUGUACACAGCCUGAGGAAGCAAAGCAGACACAGUUUACGUGAUGAAUAGUAACAAUGUAUUAUGUAUUAUGGGCAUAAUAUCCUUAGAUCUACAAGUGCUGCUGUUAACCUACAUCGCUCUGCAGGUCGUAGGCCUUUCUGGCCUGGACCACGUCGGUGGAGUCCGGCAGGCAGGUCCAUUGGUGCAGAUAAGUUCUGUAGUUAAAGUCGUUGACUUGGAUCUGGCACUUUUUGGCCAGCUCAAUAUUCAACAUGUCCACCGGCAGGUUGAACUUGGUCUUGGACUUGUUGAAGUCCUUCUUGUACAGGGCGUCGCUGGCGAUCUUGGCCGAGUUGAGAGCCAGCAUGAUCAGAGGGUCGUCCUGGACGCAGCGAGCCCCGAUGUGGUGGCCCACCUGCUUACGGUACCCUGCGUGGUACUUGUACUAAAAAGAGAUAAAAGAAUGAAUGAGAAUGGGAAAAACAUGAAGAAGUGUCUCUGUAUUUGAACCUCAUCCAGAGUCCUUUGCUUACGUCACUAAUGAUAUCUCUGGAAGCUCUAGCCUUCAGCACCGAGAUGGCGUCCUCCUUGAGGUGGUAGCCUUUGGCCUUCUGCGCGUCCCAUGCCUUUGUGUACAGUGUCUGCACACAGCAAGAAAAUAUGAUCAAAAUAACUCGAAUACAAAGGGCAUCACCAGCAGAUGACCCGCAGAUGACAAUCUGUACUAUGUACAUACUACAAGCAGCGUUACGUAGAGUCUUACGAGUUCCACCAUCUGCAGAACUCAUGCAGAUCUUGUAAGGACGCCAACUUACGUUGCUGAUGCUGAUAGCGUUGGCUUUGGACAGAACGAAGCCGGGUGCGUCAGACGGCAGGCGGAAGGAGAGCUUCUCGUUAUCCCAGACUUCUCUGUACUUCCACUGUUAGAAGGAUACAAAGCAAAAACUGUGUAUCUAUUUAUUAUUUAUAACGACCUGUGUACACAACACUGCUUUUAAAGUUGUUAUUACUAACAUCACUGAUGUUGUGGGCAUUCUGCUUGGACAACACAAUCGCUGGGAGGUCGACCACGCUGGUGAACUUCACGGUGCUCGGGGGCUGGCGGUAGAGCCGCUCAUUGAUGAUGGCCUGAGCAUUUCUAGCUUUGACCACGUCCACGGAGUCUUGUGGGGACCAGCCGCAUCCCCUCAGCCACUCCAUAUCGGCUUUAUACACGGCCUUUAGAAACAGGAAGAAGGUCAAACCCAAAGAAAUACUCUUGCGUUUCGGUACGUUUUGAAUAGCUUAGACCGAGGAUCAUAAGAAACUCCAUGGAUUCGGACACAAGCUCCUUUUAAAGCUCCAUUUAUCUAGUAGAUCAUCGGUUUUGAUCUUUUCAUGCACUCACAUCGCUCUGCAGGUCGUACACCUUCCUGGCCUGAACCACGUCGCUGGAGUCCGGCAGGCAGGUCCACUGGUGCAAGUGGGUCCUGUAGUUGAAGUCGUUCACUUGCUGUUGGCACUUCUUGGCCAGCUCGAUGGUCAGCAUGUCCACCGGCAGGUUGUACUUGGUCUUGGUCUUAUUGAAGUCCUUCUUGUAUAUGUUUUCGCUGGAGAUCUUUGCGGCGUUAGCGGCUAACAUGAUCAGAGGGUCGUCCUGUAUGCUGAGCGCACCAAUGUGGUGGCCGCGCUGCUUGCGAUACCCGGCCUUGUAUUUGUACUGGCAAUUUGGAAAUGAAAGUAUUUUUGUUUAGUUUCACUGAAAAAAAGAACAAAAUUCUUCAGAAGAAAAUAGGUUCACACUUACGUCACUGACGAUGUCUCGAGAGGCCUUAGCUGAUAAAACAGAAAUUGCAUCUUUGGGAAGGUAGUAGCCUUUGUUUAUGGUGUCCUGGUAGCCUUCACGAUAUUGUUUCUGGGGAAAUGGAAAGAUUCAGUUACGGCAUCUGAUAUAUACACCAUGAUACAAAAUGCCAAGGGAUCUUGGAUUAAAAGGUCAACAAUGAUAUGUCAAUGUGAUUCAUUCAAACUUUAGCAGAAUCAACAACUUGACUUAUGAUCAUCUUCAAUGAUUGGUUGUAUGGCUACAUGACGGGGCAGUGCGUUACCUGACUGGUAUUGAUUUUGUUCUGCUUGGCCAGGAUGAUUUCUGGGGUGUCACACUUGAUGUGGAGGUUGAGCUUGUCGUUCUCCCAGGCAGAAGUAUACGCUUUCUGGAAACAGCAAAUUAAUGAGGUACAUAAACGUUUUAUACGGACAUAAGAAAGAAAGAAAAGUAACAUAAAUGGUGUCUCCUUCUGGAGUCUUCAACACAUGCUCUUUUGAUUGGCAGCAUCACUAACUUGAUGGCUCAAGCGGGAGGGACGGGGGAGGUGGAGGGUUAAACCAAACAAUUUUCUUGAGCAUUCAUUACAAAUGUGUGACAAAUGUUCCAUCAAAACACCACCAGAUGAAUAAAAUGCAUUAAAAUAAUAUUGUAUACUACCUUGUCCAUGGUUUGGGCAUUUGUUUGAGCGAGGACAUACGGCAUGUCACUUGUCUUGGCAGUGAAUUUGAAGCGGCUGGGAUGCUGACGGUACUUGAUUUCGCUCAGAAUCUCGGACGCCUUUUUGGCUUUUUCCACAUCGACUGAACCGAUUGGCACCCAGCCUGUUCCCCUGAUCCAUUCCAUGUCGGCUUUGUAAACAGCCUACAAAUGAUGGGACACACAUUGAAUCCCCUUUUUGAAAGGAGCAACAUCAUUGAAGUUUUCAACAAAACACAGUGAAAGUAAUUGUUAUUCUCACGUUGCUCUGCAGGUCGUAGGCCUUUCUAGCCUGCACCACGUCGUUGGAGUCCGGCAGGCAGGUCCAGUUGUGCAGAUGAGUUCUGUAGUUGAAGUCAUUGACUUGGACCUGGCACUUCUUGGCCAGCUCAAUAUUCAACAUGUCCACCGGCAGAUUGAACUUGGUCUUGGACUUGUUGAAGUCCUUCUUGUACAGGGCAUCGCUGGCAAUUUUGGCAGAGUUCAUAGCGAGAACGAUCAGAGGGUCGUCAUGGACACUGAGGGCCCCGAUGUGGUGGCCCACCUGCUUACGGUACCCUGCGUGGUACUUGUACUGUGUCGAGAUAAAAGAGUGAAGAGAUGAGUAACAGAACAUGCUAAUAAAGGCACACAUCACUAUUUCAGGGAAUUCUUUAAUGGGUGACGCACAUCACUGAUGAUUUCUCUUCCACGUUUGGCAGCAACGAUAGAGACAGCGUCGGACUUGAUGUCGUAGCCCUUCCUGAACAUCUCCUCAACACCUUCCCUGUAUAGUUUCUGGAAGAGAUAGGAUAGAAGUUAGAUUAUAAUGAAGAAAUUCAAACAUAACACAGAUAUUUUAAUGUAUGAUUCCACAAACAGGUCCAAAGUACCUUGCUAAUGUUGUAAGCGUUAGCUUUGGAGAGCACAAUCUCGGGUAAAUCGGGGAUUAUAUGGUUCUUGACUUUGUCAGCCUCCCAAGCAGCAGUGUAGUGUUUCUGUGGUGAGAAACACAAAAAGAAGACACAAAUUGUGAACCCCAGGAAGAGAUGGAACAAAAGUGCCAAGAUUGCAUCUGAGUGAUGUGACAUUCUUGACCUUGUUGAUGAUUUCAGCAUUUGCUUUGGCCAAGACCAUUGGAAGCGAAGUCAUAUCAGUUGUAAACUUCUGUGUGUCUGGUUUCAACUUGUAGAGAUGGUCGCUGAGAAUUCUACCGGCGUUCUUGGCCUUCAACACACCAAGCGAACCAAUGGGGACCCAUCCUACGCCCACGAUAUCCUCUAGGUCGGCUUUGUAUACAGCCUGUUGGGGAAACAAGUAUUUAAAAAUUAGGCUUGGUCGAUUAAAGGCAUGUUGACAUAUGUCAAAUGUGUAAGACCAGGGCUCACGUCGCUCUGAAGAUUGUAGGCCUUUCUGGCCUGCACAACAUCAUUGGAGUCCGGCAAGCAGGUCCACUGGUGCAGGCGGGUGAUGUAGUUGGCGUGGUUGACUUGGAUCUGGCACUUCUUGGCCAGCUCAAGGCUCAACAUGUCUACCGGCAGGUUGAACUUUGUCUUGGACUUGUUGAAGUCCUUCUUGUACAGGGCGUCACUGGCGAUCUUGGCUGAGUUGAGAGCCAGCACGAUCAGAGGGUCGUCGUGGACGCUGAGGGCUCCGAUGUGAUGGCCCACCUGUUUACGGUACCCUGCGUGGUACUUGUACUGAUGAUAUCAGCAGAAAGUGUUUAGUCAGAGAUUAAACAACCCCUCACAAAAUGCCUUAUUCCAGUUGGUCAUCAUAGGGCUAUAACAAAUGUAUAUUCUUUUAAUUCAAAGCUUCUAUUGCAGUCUUCAAAUACAGCAUUGAAUAAGCUUUUGAGUAUUUUUUUUGUGUUGUUGUGGUUAUCUACCUUAAAUGAAUGUAUGGUACUGUUAGGGCUAGCCCGCUGUGAUAAUACAGGUGCGUGCAUGAUCCACUUACAUCACUGAUGAUGUCCCUGGAGGCCUUCGCAGCCUUCACGGACACUGCAUCCACGGGGAGGAAAUAUCCUUUGUUGAUAGUGGCCUCAUAGCCUUGUCUGUACAAUUUCUAAAAACCAAAACACACUCUUGUUAGCAGUUUUAACCAAUGGAGGCACUACAUUCUGGAGAGCUUCAGGUUUUCCACAAACCCAAACCCAACCUUGCUCAUGUUGAUAGCGUUCUGCUGAGAGAGGACAAUCUCAGGGGUGUUCGGUUGGAUGUGUAGCUUGGUCUUGUCGUUCUCCCAUGCCUCGGUGUAGAGACGCUGGAAGAAAUCACAAAUGUUUCUUCCGUCACUUGAUGGCAUUGACUCAAAAGAUAUCAGAGAGAGCUCCCCAUUGCAAAGCCGGGUAGUCACUACCUUUCAUUUUACCAAUAAAAUCGAACUCUAACCUUGUUCAUGGUCAAAGCGUUAUUCUUUGCCAGCACGAGGUUCAUGGCCUGCGUGGUGCUGGUAAAGGGAAUAUUGCAGGGGGGCUGGCGGUAUUUCCUUUCGUUCAAAGCAUCUCCAGCCUUUUUGGCUUUCUCCACCUCCAGUGAGCCGAUAGGGACCCAGCCCGUGCCCUGGAGCCACUUCAGGUCAGCUUUGUAGACGGCCUAUGAGGCGCAGGAACGCAACAUUAAAUUACAGCCACUCUUUGCAACGUGAAGAGAAAAUGAAAGAAAAAUAGAAAAAAUUAAAAGAGAAGCUACACUCACAUCGCUCAUUAUUUCAUAAGCAUGUCUAGCCUGGACCACAUCAGUGGAGUCCGGCAGACACGUCCAGUUGUGGAGGCGAGUGAUGUAGUUGGCGUGGUUGACUUGGAUCUGGUUCUUCUUGGCCAGCUCAAAGGCCAGCAUGUCCACCGGCAGGUUGAACUUGGUUUUGGACUUGUUGAAGUCCUUCUUGUACAGGGCGUCACUGGCAAUCUUGGCCGAGUUGAAAGCCAGCACGAGCAGAGGGUCGUCCUGGACACAGCGAGCGCCGAUGUGGUGGCCCACCUGCUUACGGUACCCUGCGUGGUACUUGUACUGGAGGACAAAUUAAAUCAAUACAUCGAUUAGUUUGCUGCCGCCAAUUUUGUCUAUUUUCUUUGUUACUAAAAUGAAACACUUACAUCACUGGCGAUGUCAGUAGAAGCUCUGGCUGCUUUAACAGAAAUGGCAUCUUGGCGCAUGUCGUAGCCCUUCUUCUUGGAGUCUUCAUUUGCCUGCUUGUACUUUUUCUGUAAGUAAACACAUUCAUCCCACAUAUGUUAAGUAUAUGAAUUUAUUAUUGAAACUAAUUCCUAAUAAGAAUUGUAUGAUCAUAAUUAUAUAUCUCCACUUACCAAGCUGUAGUUAACAUUGUUAGCUUUGGCAAGAAGAACAUCCAUAGCGUCAGGCAUGAUGUGGAUCUUUGACUUUUCUUUGUCCCAGGCUUCAACGUAUGAUUUCUGUAGUCGUAGAAAAACAACAGCACAAGAAUGGAGUGAUUUCUUUUACGAUUAAGUCAUUUCUUUAUAAAAACAAGUGGUCAAUAGACUUGUUUGACAUGAUACAAGGUAGUUAUCUAAAUAUGGUUUCAUACCUUGUUCAUAACCUGAGCGUUGGCCUUCGCCAACACCAUGGGCAUGUCUUCGGUGGUUAUUUUGAAUUUGAAGUUGCUGGGCGGUUGCCGAUACUUUCUCUCAUUCAGGGCCUCGCCAGCUUUCUUGGCCUUCUCAACAUCCAGUGAACCUAUUGGCACCCACCCGAUGCCCUGCAUCAUCUUCUGAUCCUCCUUGUACACAGCCUGGACCAAAUAGAAAGGGUUCAUUAUGAAACAAGAGGCUCCACCACUUCAAAAAGGAACAUUCAUAAUUGCGAUAACUUCCUAAACAAUAAAUCCAAGUAUUAAUACUUACAUCGCUCAUAAUUUCAUAAGCAUGUCUGGCUUGGACCACAUCAGUGGAGUCCGGCAGACACGUCCAGUUGUGGAGGCGAGUGAUGUAGUUGGCGUGGUUGACUUGGAUCUGGUUCUUCUUGGCCAGCUCAAAGGCCAUCAUGUCCACCGGCAG
ensembl:lncRNA